rnacentral:rRNA from 1 species
AACGAACGCUGGCGGCAUGCCUAACACAUGCAAGUCGAACGAGACCUUCGGGUCUAGUGGCGCACGGGUGCGUAACGCGUGGGAACCUGCCCUUAGGUUCGGAAUAACUCCCCGAAAGGGGUGCUAAUACCGGAUAAUGUCUUCGGACCAAAGAUUUAUCGCCUUUGGAUGGGCCCGCGUUGGAUUAGCUAGUUGGUAGGGUAAAAGCCUAGCAAGGCGACGAUCCAUAGCUGGUCUGAGAGGAUGAUCAGCCACACUGGGACUGCGACACGGCCCAGACUCCUACGGGAGGCAGCAGUGGGGAAUAUUGGACAAUGGGCGAAAGCCUGAUCCAGCAAUGCCGCGUGAGUGAUGAAGGCCUUAGGGUUGUAAAGCUCUUUUACCCGGGAUGAUAAUGACAGUACCGGGAGAAUAAGCUCCGGCUAACUCCGUG